rnacentral:misc_RNA from 1 species
AUCACCGAGGCACCGUCUUAAACUCAACUUAACAUAUGAUGGGCGUCGGGUUAGUACCUGGAUUACAGCUACUUGUGAUUUCUUUGCUACUGGUUUCAACAUGGACCUUAGAGGCCUUCCAAUCAGAAACAAUUCAGACAAAAUUAGGUGCGUUAACCGGACGUAGGACAACCGUUGGACAAAACAAUGACACAGUGUACCAGUUUCUAAAUAUUCCUUUUGCCAAACCUCCAGUCGGGGACUUGCGAUUCAGGCAACCGGUUAAGUUUGGUCGAUGGAACGGAACACUUGACGCUACAAAGUAUGGCCCAUCGUGUUUUCAGGAUGUGAACUCGUCCUUCACGAUUUGGUACGGAACGUCGGAGGACUGUUUGCAGUUAAAUAUUUACGUACCCUUCGCCACCUCUCCGUCGAUCAAGAAAUCAGUCAUGGUGUGGAUCCACGGCGGUGGCUACUUUUUCGGUACCGCUUCCUUCUACGAUGGCAGUAUGAUAGCGGUAGAGGGGGACGUUAUCGUCGUUACCGUAAAUUACCGGCUCGGGAUUUUUGGGUUUUUGUCACUUGGAGAUGAGACUACCAAAGGAAAUUAUGGACUUCUCGAUCAAAUUCAAGCUUUAAAAUGGGUCAAAGAGAACAUUGCCGACUAUGGCGGGAAUCCAAGUGAUGUAACAAUUUUUGGAGAAUCUGCAGGGGGCUUCAGUGUAGGUCUGUUAUCGCUUAUUCCUCAAAACAAAGGUCUGUUUCAUCGUGCGAUUCACGAGAGUGGAACUGCCAAUUCCUUACUUACUCUUGGAAGUCCUGUGGAAGUAACAACUGAAACGGCAAAAGCUCUAGGAUGUCAAACAACCAAUUCAACUAUUUUGAUGAACUGUCUCCUCGAAAAACCUGCCGAUGCAAUACUUACACAGAGCACAAUGGUCAGUGAACGACUGUGCAAUUUAGACAGAAUGCACUGUCUGUACUUCGGUCCUGUUAUUGACGGUGACCUACUCACCCGAACACCGGUAGAGCUCAUGUCCAAUAAGACAACCGAAGCUUAUAAGUUCUUUGAAUCUCUAGAUUUAAUGGUAGGAAACUGUCGUAUGGAAGGAUCUCUUUAUCUCUCUAUGCUUGGAAACAACGUACAAUAUCAAAAGGACAAGAACAUCAACGUGUCAAUUGGGCUCUCGCAUCAGUAUCUUUGCGACGUAAUGAGUCCAAACAUAGCUAACUUCUACUUUAAAAACAACAGAAAAGUGUCACAGGCAAUAUGCAAAGAAUAUUAUGUUGCAGACAACGCCACUUUACAGAGUCGAGCAGUACUGGACGUAUAUAGUGAUCUGUUCUUUAUAUCGGACUCCACAUCUACCUUGAAUGCGCAUAUCAAUUCUGAAUCAUCAACCUACCAAUUCAUGUACAACCAAGUUCUUCCUUUUAAGCUCGGACCAGAACCGACUUGGUACGAAGGACCCAGUCACGCGGAGGAAUUGUACUAUCUGUUUACUAUGGAGUACUUUGAUAGAAUUCUUCCAAAUGUCACGAUAUCCGACUCUGAUCGUUUGCUGGCUCAUCAAAUGCGAAAAUAUUGGACAAAUUUUGCAAAAUCUGGGUAAGAUUAGGUUUUCAAACUGAGGAAAAGAGGUUUUGUUAUUAUCUAUGCGAAUGCAAUUAAUUCUAUAAACCAGUUUUUAUUUCAAGUUUAAUGUAGGAUUCUGCACUUUACACGUCUUGAUGGAUAAUACCACUUAGAUUAAGAUAUCUAUGUAGUGAAUUUAAGUUUAUUACCAUUAGUCUUCUGACCAGUCGAUGAUUUUUGUGAGAGAAGAAAAUCGUUAUCGAUAUCGUGGUUGGUUGGGGUGUAAACGUGUUUGCUACGAAAAUCUAAUAUAUCAAUUGAAUCGCACAGAAGCUACAUAAAUCUUUAAUAAAUGUAUUGAAAUUUGAAUACCCAUGUAUUAUUUAUGAUUUCUGUCUACUUUUUCCUUAUUAGGAAUCCGAACUCGGCUGGACUUCCGGUGUGGUCAGUAUUUACCAAUGCCUCUAAAAACUACAUGAAGUUGAGCAAGCAUGAUAUGGGUGUGGGGAAUGACUACCGCAAGAACGAAAUGAAGUUUUGGCUGCAGACUAUUCCAAACCUCAUUUCCGAUUCAGACACGAGUCGCGCCAAAAAAUUAAAGACUGAUAGUUUAUUUCUUUUGAUCAUCAGUUUAUCAUCACUAAACUUUUUCAUUAAUAUUAUGUUGGUGAGGUACUAACUAUUUGAAAAAAAAAAAAAAUUAAAAAAAAAAGAUUCCCUCUU